AGCGAACGCUGGCGGCAGGCUUAACACAUGCAAGUCGAACGGGCAUCUUCGGAUGUCAGUGGCAGACGGGUGAGUAACACGUGGGAACGUACCCUUCGGUUCGGAAUAACUCAGGGAAACUUGAGCUAAUACCGGAUACGCCCUUUUGGGGAAAGGUUUACUGCCGAAGGAUCGGCCCGCGUCUGAUUAGCUUGUUGGUGGGUAACGGCCUACCAAGGCUACGAUCAGUAGCUGGUCUGAGAGGAUGAUCAGCCACACUGGGACUGAGACACGGCCCAGACUCUUACGGGAGGCAGCAGUGGGGAAUAUUGGACAAUGGGCGCAAGCCUGAUCCAGCCAUGCCGCGUGAGUGAUGAAGGCCUUAGGGUUGUAAAGCUCUUUUGUCCGGGACGAUAAUGACGGUACCGGAAGAAUAAGCCCCGGCUAACUUCGUG
rnacentral:rRNA from 1 species